CAAACUCAAAUCUAUGGUUUAUUAUAUCAAAGUCUGCAUAAGGUAUAACUGCAGCACAUCAGAUUACGGAACAACAAAAAGAUGAUGUUAGAUAGAUAUAGCAUUUUCAAGCAGUACAUUUGUCUUGCCAUAUACAGCUUAAGAAAUCUUGGUUAUCCUGCAGAUGCAUUUCAGAAAAACACCCUUCUGCACACUUGCUUAAAUACACUUAUUGUAGGUAUCCUCUCUUUAAUUUCUACUCAGAACAUACUUUUAUUUGACCUCUUAUUAGGCAGGCUUAGAAAAAAUGUCCUACUAACACUUGCUCUUAGAUCAAUGUAAGCUUAAGAAAUAUUAACUGUGCUGUGCUAUAAAUCAGGAUCACAAAAAAACCCCUAUUACACAAUUGAUUAAGUGCACUUAUCUUAGGCAUUCCCUCUUUAAUUUCCAUCCGCAACUCACUUUUACUUCGCCUCCUGUUAGGCAAGCUAGAAAAACUUGGACUGCCCGCACUUGCUUUUCCAGCAAUGUCAUCUUAGGAAAGCUUGGUUAUACUAUGAAUGGAGUUCAGAAAAGCACCAUACUGUACACUUACACUUAUGCUAGCCCAAUUGGAGCUACCAAAUGAUAUUACAUUUAUACAGGCCAAUUUGAGCAACCAAAUGAUACAGGUCAAAUGAUUAUCCCUGCACUGCUGACAGUGGCCAACAUGAUGGAGGCAUCUUGGUUCAGAUUUGAGCCUAUUUUAAUAUCAGUUUAUAUGAAUAUUGCCAGCCGCCUCAGAAACAAUCAAAGCCCGAGCUUUCGCAUUACCAAAAACCAGGUGUUAGCCUCUACUGAACAUUAAGCUAUCUCGGAAGCCAAAUAUGGCCCCAUUGCAGUCUAUUCCUAUGAAUAAAUAAACCUCAAAUGGUAAACUAUGCGGUUAUGGAGCACGGACUAUUUUGCCAAGGAUCAAGUGCCAUUACACUAUCUUGCUCUCUGCUCCAUGAAACCAGCCUAGCCUUGAACCAUUUGCAUGCUAUUACCAAGGAGUACCUCCUUUAUGAUGAGUAAUCACUAAUGUACUUAUCCUAUAAUUAGCUGCUACUCUAAGAUGUCUACGACAAUGGCAUACUGGCUGUAUGAUCCUUUAAGGUAAUUAUGUGGCUGCCGACGUCAUUGUUAGCACUGAUAUUUGAGCAACAUUCCUCGCUCCUCUAACUGAUAAUGUUAAUCGUUUUUGAUUUAGCGGUCAUUAUUAUUCCUUCGCUUAUAACAGCUUAUUUAUUUACUUUACCUUACAAACUCAAUACAGAAAAGCAGAGCUCCAUAUGACGAUUGAAA